rnacentral:rRNA from 1 species
UACGGGGGGGGCAAGCGUUGUUCGGAAUUACUGGGCGUAAAGGGUUCGUAGGUGGCCAACUAAGUCAGACGUGAAAUCCCUCAGCUUAACUGGGGAACUGCGUCUGAUACUGGUUGGCUUGAAUUCGGGAGAGGGAUGCAGAAUUCCAGGUGUAGCGGUGAAAUGCGUAGAUAUCUGGAGGAAUACCGGUGGCGAAGGCGGCAUCCUGGACCGAGAUUGACACUGAGGAGCGAAAGCCAGGGGAGCAAACGGG